AGAAGAACAUGCCGCGUGGCCAGCCUCCCUCACCUCGGGUCGGGGCUGGCGAGGGGGCGUGUGGCGCGAGGCUCCCCCUGAGAAGCCGCCUACCUCGGGACAGAAGCUUUGGGUCUGGUUCAUGGUGAUGAUCAUGUUGGUCAUGAUGAAGAGGGAGUUCUCCUCCUGCAGAGAGGGCGGGAAGGAGAGAGCCCUGCCGCGUCACCUGCCAAGGAGCCCAGCAGAGCCAGAGAGAAAGCCAGACGUUCUCAGGACAGCGCUCUUCCGGCUCCCACGUGGCACAGAGAAAACAAUGGGAAAAACUGAUCUCAGGGUCUCCCGUUCUCUCCUCUGAGAGUUUGUAACCUAACUGAAAACGGACUAAAACUAAUCACUUGUGUCUUCGUGUUCAGAGCAGCAUUGCUCACCAAGGUGGAAAUGACCCCCGCGUUGAUCGACAGGUGAGUGGUACACAGCUGUGCUCUGUGUCUGCGAUGGAACAUUACUAAGCCAUAAAAAGGAAUGGAGCCCUGACACCUGCUGCGAUGUGGAAGAACCCCCCCCCCAAAUGAUGCUGAGUGGGAGAUGCCAGACCCAGAAGGCCACGUAGUGUAUGAUCCCAUUGACAGGAAGUGUCCAGAACAGGCAGAUCCACGGGGACAGAAAGCAGACCGGUGGUUUGCUGUGGGGGGCGGGGAAGGGCGGAAUGGCGUGACUGCUUAGAGUGCGGGGUUUCCUCUGCGGGUGAGGAAGAUGUUCCGAACUUGACCGAGGGGAUGGCUGCCCAGCAUCACGCGUGUGCUACAUGCCACUGAAUUCUCCGUUUUGAAAUCGUUCAUGUUAUGAUAUGUGAAUUUCACCUCAAUUUUAAAAAUGUCUGUAACUUAAAAUGGUUCUUUAAUAAAGCUUGACUUACUGAGGGAAAAGAGCCAACGAGGACUCCAGACAUCCUCUGCCAACCGGAUUAACUCAGAGGAAAAAAACAACAACAUUUAAAGGUCUCCAGUUUGGCUGGUUUUCUUUCCUGACCGGAACUAAAACAAAUGAAUAAAAGCGCUGCCGAGAAGACUCGGUCAGGGUCAGCACCCACAGUUCUCCCUUUGAGAGGGCAGGUUCUCCUCUUUCCUCGGAACUCUGAAGGUGCCAGAUGAUUCAUUUAUUAGCGUUUCUAAGAAAUUUGAGAGCCACUUGUGUUGGGGAUGCGACUGCUAAUAAAGAAUUGCUACUAAUGACCUCCUUUUAUAAAGGGUAAAAGACUAAGACCCCAAGGAUCCGAGUGGGACCUCCCCCCUCACUGGGCAAUGCCAUUCUAACGUGCAAACCCUGCUGGGAGCUUUAAGCAUGUCACACUCCCAGGAAGGGCAGGGUCAGUGCGGGGAGCCAUCUGGGGGGUCAGAGUGACUCAAGUGCCAAGGGGUCCGUAGUCCUCUCCACCCCUAGGUCUGACAAGGUGUUGGAAGCUCCGGGAAUUGCUGGCAUCUUCCAAAGGAAGUCCCAGAACAAGCCACGUUGGGAGAUGAGGAAGUGGCCCCAGAGGAGACACACGGUUGUAACCCGAGUUUCUCAGGGCACCUGUCAGGUUCCCAGGUGUUCUAUGUGCAAACACAGGUGGUGUUUACCAAAAAGGCCCGUCCCCCUCUCCCAAGAGAGAUGUGAACAAUUCAGCAUGUUUACUUUUUGGUUCCUAUUUCUUAUCUAAGUUUAGGGAAAUUUCAGUCUGGAGAUGAGCCAAGCAGAUGUGAUGCGCAGUGUUCUGACUUCGGAGAGGCAGAAGGGCGUUGUGGAAGCUCAUGACGAGGGCCCUGCGGGGCUCCCUCAGCCCCCAGCCCCCAGGUCUGAGGGGCAAGGCCCAGUGCCUGCGUGUUCCUUUCCACCGAGGGGCAGACGCAGCGGCCACACCCUUCCUCGGUUCCAGUACAGACUGAGCCACAUUCCCAGAGCUUGCCAGCACGAGGCCGUGACUCGACAGGCAGCAGAGGUCUCUCUGUUGAGACAGGUGCACACCAACAGGACCGGCCACCUCCAGCAACUGUGAACCACCCUGUUCCAUUUGGCCUUCAUGGCUCACCAGCUCUGUCUUCUUUCUGGCCACCCCACGAGACCCUCUCUUGAAAAAGCAGGUAGGUGGGGUGGGUGGGGAACGAACACACUUGAAGAAAGAGCUUCUGAAGUCCUGGCAGAGCUCUGAGCAGAGAGCAGACAGCUGAUCUGCCCUGAGCCACCCCAGUUACUGGGGCGUACGUGCCACCUGGAGAGGUACGCUGGGGUUUGGCUGUGUGGAGCACGGCCACUAUCAAGGUUAAAGAGAGUCAAUAUUUAACUUGGAGCUUUGUGGUUCACAGAACCCUAAGAGACUGGGACCCACAGCAGAUCUUCCUUCCCUCUGUUCCUGAAGGAGGCCUCCUCGAGUAUGUCUGUGUCCUUCUGUUUGGCUGUCUGUCUCUAGUUGCUGUUAAAGGUUUUUAACGCUGCUUGAAAAGGUUCACCUUGUGGGCUUACCACCAUAAAGCAAAUACAAAACCUGGAAAGGUGAUAUUUCCACCUGAAUUUUCCCCAGGAUUUAAAAUGUUUCCCUUUUCACCUCUUAGGGCUUGAGACAGACCAAGAUGUCCUCAUGGAAAGCUGCCUGUGUUUAAACUGGCCGUGUUUCAGCACAGAAGAAACAUAGCUGAUUGGAUAUUACCUGUUAGAUCGGGAGCCAAAAAGAGAUCUGUGCGCAUUGCUUUCUUGGACUGAAACAACUGGCUCGGGCUUUGGGGACGUUAGAACUCUGGCCGUGCCGACCGUUAAUCAGUGCACGAGGUUAGCAAAGUGCAAGGGGCUAGCUAGAGGCGUUAGCGUUCGACAGUCGCCAUGGACAGCAUACCUGAGCCGGAAUCACGUAAUCGGCCACAUCCCAGAUCCGGAAUCCAAGUUUAGAAGUGUUGGUCACCGUCACACCCUUGGCUUUGGUAGUAACUGAGCUGACCACAGAGUCCACUUCCUGGUAGCCCUUUUCCCACACAAACACCCACCUACAAAAUAAAACAGGCCUCCUGAAUUGCUGUUAGGGUUUGGUGAGUUUGAAUUGAUGCUAGGGAGCCUCUGCUAGUCAGAAGCUGAAAGUCCCACGUUCCUGAAUUACGUGACUUUGCAAAAGCCGCCUAACUUUUUUGAGGGUAGUUGUGGGGGGCUCCAUUUCCACUUCUGCAAAAAAGGCGUAAUAGCACCUAAACCACAGGGUGGUUUGUGGGAAAUUAAUGAGAUGAUGCCAGUAAAGCUCUUAGCACUGUGAUCUGCACGGAGAAAAUGCUUGGUUAAUGCUGUCUUAUUAGCUACUUGAGCACUUUCAAUGCACUGUGACCUGCAGAAUCACCAAGAGAGUGUAAAAAUUAGCAUCAUAAUAGUUACCAUUUGAGUGUUUUUAGGUUCCAGGCACUGAUCUAAGCUCCUUAUGUAUAUUAACUAACUUACUCCUGACUGCUGUGUAAGGCAAGUGUCCAUCAUUUAGCUCCAUUUUACAGAGGAGGAAACCAAGACACAGAGAGGUCAAGUCACUUGGCCAAAGUCACACAGCUAGUGAGUGGCAUAAUCAGGACAUGAUCCCAAGUUUUCUGCCUCUGAAGCCUCUUCUCUUGACCUCUAUGCCAUACUCCUUCUAAAACAAGAUAUGCCUUUCAAAUAAGUUUUUAUAGUAAUUUUUAUAUUUUCCUCCAAGAAAGCAAGGCACAUGUCUGCUUUCUUCCUCUGAACUGGGGACGUUAAUAUCAGUUUGGAUAAUUAAAAAUGUAAAGACACACUGGCUGGUGUAGCUCAGUGGAUUGAGUGUAGGCCUGCGAACCAAAGGAUCGUGGUUUGAUUCCCAGUCACGGCACGUGCCUGGGUCGCAGGCCAGUUCCCAGCAGGGGACGCACAAAAGGCAACCAUACAUUGAUGUUUCUCUCCCUCUCUCCUUCCCCUCUAAAGAUAAAUAAAUAAAAUCUUAAAAAAAGAAAAAAAAGAAA